rnacentral:miRNA from 1 species
GGUUGUUCCAACAAGUCCAAUACAGUCAUGAUAUAACAAUAUUGUUACAACCUUGUGUCGUCAACCUUGUAACAUUCUCGUUAUAUCAUGAGUGUAUCCGACUUGUUUAUAGAACAACC